rfam:Microgenomates bacterium GW2011_GWA1_45_10 TW86_C0020, whole genome shotgun sequence.
GGGCGUGUGGUGGAACGGCAGACACGUACGGUUCAGAGCCGUAUGGGAGCAAUCCCGUGGAGGUUCAAAUCCUCUCUCGCCCA